UAGCAGUGACUGAUUUCCUGUUUACGCUCAUUUCAGUUCGUAGAUACGACAGAGAACAUCUGGACAUAUAACACAAGUGAGAGUACGAACGUUAUAUGUAAAGUGGACAAAGCACAGUUUGCGACCAAGGCAUCACUCUUCUUCCAUCGGCUAUACAUAAUAGCGGCGGAUAAGUUUCACAUGUGCUUCAUCGCAAAGUUUGAUACCCAGCGAAAAGAAUGUAUGCUUGUCGCUAAUCAAGGCAGGGAGCACAAGGAGUGUAUGGUUUAUUACAAUAGACGUUUUGGAUGUGCAGUUAUUAGUGUGAAACUCCAAAACGGUAAAGGCCGCUAUUACGACCUUCGGAUUCAGACUUCCUUCAUAAGGGCAGGCCCAAGCCC